UUCACUCUCUCAAUCAACCACUCAAUCCCCGCAAAAAAAAUCAACCACUCAAAAGAAAAACAUUCAGUCUCUCAAUCUCGAGCCUUCUCCUGUCACCGCUGUCUCCCUUCCAUCGACGGCGCCGCCGCAUACUCCUAUCCCCUCCACUGCGUUGGCCGGCCCCUCCUCUCCUCGCCAUCUCUCCUCCAUGUUGCGCGCCGAGCCCGUCAUCCCUUCCCAUGUUGUACUCGGCCGCAUCUUCCUGGCUCGAUUGGUUCGAUCUGCUGCCAUCCACUACCCGUCAGGUUAUUCCGGCGGUGCGGCGGCGGCGAAGCUUGGCGCGACGAUGGAGCCUGCCUGUCUGGCGAUGGGGUGGGAGUCGGAUAGGCGCGCGGCGGUGAUUGUGCAGUCACGGAGACAGCUCUGCAGUCCCGAUGGUGUCGCUGCUGCGGUGGUUCCAUUCCGGCGGCAUCGUCGGCCCGUUCAAAACAGGGCUCGUGCAUGGGGUGGCCCGCCCAUCAAGACAGAGGCAUGGCCGGACAUCGUUAUCGCUCAAAUAUCAGUGCGUUUCUCGCAAUGGAUUACUGGGAAGAUGAAGCAAUGGCCCUCUUCCCUCUCCGUCAAUACAGUUUUACAGGCUAAUCAGCUGGCACCUUAGAAAGGUACACAGCCAUGUACGUAUCCGUGAAUCUGAAGCCUUUCAGGUGUACAGGGUGUACACGUUCUGAAUUUCACAAAGCUACUACUAAUUGCUGUUGGUAAAAACAAACUGGGCUAUGCAUGUCACUCAGCGAGUUUCCUCUUGUACAUAGAAACAUCACAACUACUGACAAAUGCAUUGUAUUGUUAUUCUAAGCGUGUUUUGGUGAAAUAUUUUAAUCUUGGCUCAUAGAAAUCCACUACUGCUUAAGUUAAUCCACUACAUCCAUAUCUGAUAUUGACCAACUACAUCCUGAUCUAAUACAGGCAAAAUCAGGGACCGAAGGAUCAUCUCUUACCAAUGCAUAACCUGUAGAACUCUAUUACUACAUAAGCUGAUCAACUACAUCCUUGUGUAAUACAAGAUAAUAAAUCAUAAAUCAGUGGACCAUAUGUUCCCGAUGCGAAUGCCUCCUUUUGCGUUGUCCGUUUGAUCAUUAGUAUUUAUUUCCAUCAUUAUGCUAGCAAUCAUGUUUUGGAAUUGCCAACUGCAGUACUGCUCCGCCUACAUCGUAAUAUACAAUGCCUCGCCUAUAAAGUUUGAAGAAUCUUAAAAUAUUUGUUAUACUAUAUUACACUACAUGAUAGAUCUGCUGCAGAGAGGUUAUCACUCUUCUACGCUGAGCAUGCCGACAGGAGCUUCUUCAACAGUCCGGUGAAGCACACCAUUUUGGAUCAACUCCUCACAUAGACCCGCAUUGAGGGAGGAGGACGGAGAGGCCGACAACAAGGAGCGGGUGUGGGUGUUCAUCCUCGCUGCUGACCACAAGUGCUGCGAGAAAUUUUGGGAAGAAUUCUAUGCCUCCACUGGUAUGAGCAAAUCACCUGUUGAUUCCUUUUCUCUGUCCAUUGCCUGUUGAAGUAGCUAAUAGAUCGCUUCAGAAUGUUGUGAGCUUGGUUAUUUUACACCGUCUGCUAAUGUUAAGCAAAGAAUGAAGGCUGGGGUGUGUUACAUGUAGGAAACAAUGUUUUACUUAGAUGUAAUAGAUGAUUGAUUACAAAACAACUAUCCAUAAUUUGGUGCAUUCUGUUUUGCAAAAUGAUCAGGUGGUGGUUAAGCUGGUAUCUUGAUCGCGGCAGAAUACUACAUCUCCAGUGUUCAGUGUCAAAGCAAAAGAAUAAUAUACAUAAGUAAUCUACCAAAAGGAAAAGUUAUCUAACCAACAAGUAAUUCUCCAUUACCACGAGUUGACCAUGGCUAUGCCAGAAACAAGGAGAGAAUAGAAAUCCUCAAUAGCAAUGAUGUUGCUACUAUUUCCAUUUCUUAAACAUUAGUUAGGAGUUCAUCUAAUUGGAGUCUAAGCUCCAGCUGCGUAAAAAAGGUAAAAGGAGCAAAAAGACACAAAAUAAAUGAAACUAAGAAAGAACUAAACCGCAAAAUAAAAUUGGGACGUUGUGUGUUUCUGCUUUGGGGCCGCAUGAAUCCAUUAUAGAUUAAAAGCACUCUAUAAGCCAAAUUCCAUGCCUUCUACAGAGGGAGUACUGCCCAUGGGCUCUCUAGAGUUGAAUUUGUCAAUUAAGUAGAUGCUUUAACUAACUUGUAAGUAAAUAGACGAACCAUAUUUUGUUUGAACUAAGCAGUUGCUGCUAAUAUAAUUCUCCCCAGCAUGUUUAAGCAUGUUCAAACUCGGUAACUUGAUGUCUUAAUUGUUCUGGCUAGAUCCUGGACCUUAUGAUAUGAUAUCUACCUAUAACCAGUGAUACGUUUCUGCCUUUGGCUGGAUGUCUUCUUCUUCUGUUAAGGCCACAGUAGGUACGGGCGGGUGUGGCUAUGAAGAAGUUCCCGGAGGCAGCGGACUGGAAAUCGGGUGUGAGCGGCCGAAGAGGCUGGGACCGGCGAGUGGCAGCAGCUGGCUGGAGGCGGCGGGAGGAGCCCGGUAGAAGAAAGCAGGUAAGUAGCGGCGGCCUACAUGUCUAUGGUUUGGUACAUGCCGCCAUCUAAACACUUACAAUGAACAUCAAUGUUUCCGAGCUUUGCUUGUUGAGCCUGUCGUUGCCAUGUAAGCCAGCCACCAAGUGUUCAGAAAAUAUCUGAAGUUAUAUUCUACAGUAGAAUCUAAUCACCUUAUUGUCGUUGUUUUCUGUGUCAGUCAUUAUUUGGAUAACACCCUAUUGUAGAAUCUCGGUGAUGUUAGGACAUUGCAAGCAUUAUUUGAACUUGAAGCGCUUCUUCUUACAAGUAUGAUCAUUUUAUAAUCGUUUCUUUGGUUGUGGUGGAUUAUUUAGUGAACAUAAUUCCUUUUUUAGGUCAUUGCAUGAAAAAUAAGAAUACUUAUAUCACUGAAUUUCUGGUGGUUUUCUUUGGAAGUUAGUUCAGUUAGGCGCUUCUAACUGCUUAAGCUCAAUUUAUCUCCAGUUGCCCUUAAUUACCAGAUGUUGGGUAUUUUCUUCCAUGAAACUGCUCUUCAGUUUGAUAUAAUCUGCAGGAGCAAUCCAGGAGCAUGGUGUGUCACCUAUGUCCUAAUCAAGUGUGUGAUCUCCUAGUGCCUACUGAAUUAUAACGAGUUUUGAACUUUGUUGACUUAUUUUCCUUAUCCUGCUUGUUAGGUUUUCAUGUCAUUCUGCACGCUGCUCAUAAUGUGCAUUUCUUGUUAUUUGCUAGUGGUUGUACUGUACAAAGCUUGGUCUGUUAUUGAAACACAUAAGUGCGGCAGCAAAUUCAUAGUGUACAUUUGUUGUUAUUUGCUAAUGGUUGUACUAAACAAAGCAUGAUCGAAACACAUCCUUUAUGUUAUGUCCAAAAUUAGCUUAUUAGUCCUUUUUAGUGGGGCAAACUUAUAUAUGUCAAUUUUUCCUCCAGCUGUGUAUUACAUAUUGUGAUAAUUGUACAAAGGCUGCCAUAAAAGAUACGCAUGUCUUCAGAUCAGCAAUAUGCCAGGCAAAUAAUGGUCGAAACACAUACCUUAAUUUCUGCUCUGUGUUCAGGCCCUAGCAGAGCUUGAACCUUAUUCAGCAAAUAAUGGUCACUGAGUCUUGGUCGUCACUGGACCACAAUUCUUGACAUACUUCCAUGGACGCUGGAAGUAACAUGAGCUACAGAUAUGCAUCUCAAUGGGGGGUUACUUCUUUCCUCAACAAGUUACAGUACAGUAGGAGAGGGCAAUGAUGCUGACCUGUGACUUGACCUUCCAUGGAAAACUCUGGCUUGACGUGAGGGGGUCGUCGCUUCCAGAGAUCGUCGCCGGUCCGGUAGUCGCUUUAAGAGAUCGUCUCUCGGUCUGGUCGUCGCUUCCAGAGAUCGUCGCCCGGCCUGGUCGUCACUUCCAGGGAUGGGGAUGCCUUCACCAAAUGAGGCAAAAUCUGGCUCGCAGAUAUGUGUCGUCCAUUGGGAAGGUUUCGGUUGUAUACAUGGAAAGAAUCCAACUUGAUAUGUGGAAGGUCUAGGCUGUAUACACGGAAAGACUACAACGUGAUCAUGAAUUGUGAUAUGAUUUCUGCUAUACAUGGAAUACAUGUUAUGUACAAAAGGAAAAAGAGUCCGUUGUUAUGUAAAGGAAAAGAAUGUAAUUUAUGGAGUUCCCAAUUAGGAGUAGAAGAUUAUGGAAGCUAUUA